rnacentral:rRNA from 1 species
UACGAAGGGGGCUAGCGUUGUUCGGAAUUACUGGGCGUAAAGCGCGCGCAGGCGGUUCUCCAAGUCAGUGGUGAAAGCCCGGAGCUCAACUCCGGAAUUGACAUUGAAACUGUUGAACUCGAGGACGAGAGAGGUGAGUGGAAUUCCCAGUGUAGAGGUGAAAUUCGUAGAUAUUGGGAAGAACGACCGGUGGCGAAGGCGGCUCACUGGCUCGUUUCUGACGCUCAGGCGCGACAGCGUGGGGAUCAAACAGG